GGAUCUUCGUUCAUGCAGAUACGAAUCAGCUUUGCCAGUUGCGGAGAAAUCCCAGGUGGAAUACUGACGCGUAGAUCUUCCAUGGCGAUCUACAUUAACACAAUGAUGAUUGAUCAUUGUGGAAAUAAUUUCUCAACUUCGAUCACCUCAGGUGAAACUUACCUUCAUACCGCAUUCCAUGGGAGAUAAAUCGGCAAAGGGUACUUCUCUGGUGGCCAAUUCCCAGAGCAAAACUGCAAAACUCCACAUGUCACUAGCCUCAAGGUUAAUGUCAGCUGGUUUUUUGUUCAAAGCUUCUGGGGACAUCCACGCCGGUUCGUAAAUUCGUCCAACUUCUUGGAACGAAAAUUUAGCAUCAGCCAUGUUCACUCUUGCUGUGAGGUCCUCAUCAAUCUAUGCGGAAUGAAAAAAUUCCAAAUUAGCACGGGAAUGAAAAUCAGAUGGACUAACAAGAUACCCGGCAUUAAACUCACCAUAACAUGUUUACUGUUCAACUGAAAUCUGCACCUGCUUUGCCUUUCGAGCCCGUGGAGGAAGGCCAUAGCCCUCGCGACAUCUAAUGCUAAUCGUAGGGCUCUUGCAGUAUCGACAACAACGCCGGUUCCUCCAUGUAGGAGUCUGUGCAGGCUACCUCUGGCCAUGUAUUGGGAUACAGUAACGAGCUGUGGUGGUUGAUUGACGCACCCAAGCACAGGUCCCCUGGCCUUAUCCAAUGGGGUGUCUCCAUCCUUAUUGGCAAUGGAUACUAAUGCCCCAGCAGCGACCAACUCCUCUGCAACGGCUUGAUCACCCCAAAAGCAAGCAUAGUGGAGAGCAGUGUUCCCAUGCUCAUUGGUGACAUUGACAUCGGCACGAUUUUUCAACAGCUAAUCAAUAGCAGAAAAAUUGGAUGAGAUAAUAAAAAUGAGACAAUCAAGA